rnacentral:lncRNA from 1 species
CAGGAAGUUCAAAGGGAGCAGCAGCAACAGCUAGUUGUGGUAGGGUGGGGAAGGUUUUUCAGUGAGGAAGAGGCAAAAGAGGAUGCCCUUACUUCAUAAAUCCAGGAAAUCUACGCAAAAUGGGUGGAAGUGCAAAACUUUAAAAAAAUAUAUCACCCUGAAAAAGCUUUAACAAGCAGAACUGUAAGUUUGCCAAAUGACCAGACCCUUUCCCACUUUAGAGGAACUUUGAAAUGAAGACAAAACAAACAUCAUUGGAUAGGCAUCUUGCAAAGCUUAUACUGCGAAUCUCAAGCAGAAUUCAGUGGUAAUUGAAGCUAGGAAAGAGCUCCAGCAGAGCAGUUGCCUUCAGAUAUUAUAGAGAAGACUCUUCUUCCAGACAUUUACAUUUCUCUUCCCCACUAUCCUCUUAGGCUAUGAACUCUUCCCAAUACAGAUGGGGAAAACCAUGGCUCAGAAAAAUCGACUGGCUUAAAGUCAUUCCAUGAGUCAGGAGAAAAAAAAGGAAUCCAUAAAAAAGGUAAAUGGUAAAGUUGGCCUUGAAUCACAAUGAAAAGGAAUAUUGAAGUCCAAAAAGCUGCAGCUUAAAAAAAUGCCAAAGAUGUUGAGUUACUUUCCCAGGGUUACACAACUAGCUAAGUGGCAAAGGAAGGAUUUGAACCUAGUUCUUUCCUGCCUUCAAGUCAGCAAUUUUACCCUUUAAACCACAUCAAUUCUUAUCAUUGUAUUGCAUCAACAUGGGUUAAAUAAUUAAAAUGGUAAGUAUUUUCAGGCUGCUCAUGCUGACCUGAAACAAAUUGUUAGAAGAAUGUGAG